rnacentral:rRNA from 1 species
UACGGAGGGUGCUAGCGUUGUUCGGAAUUACUGGGCGUAAAGCGCACGUAGGCGGCUUCGCAAGUCAGAGGUGAAAGCCCGGGGCUCAACCCCGGAACUGCCUUGGAGACUGCGUCACUCGAAUCCGGGAGAGGCGGGUGGAACUCCGUGUGUAGCGGUGAAAUUCGUAGAUAUACGGAAGAACACCAGUGGCGAAGGCGGCUCGCUGGACCGGCAUUGACGCUGAGGCGCGAAAGCGUGGGGAGCAAACAGG